CUUCAAAGCAUAUUAUGACCUCUAAUCAAGCGUUAGCAGGGCAGGGAAGGAGGGGAUAGGAACAUAAAUCCAUAUUAGGACAGCUAAGUAUGAGAAAUUGAUGCCUCCUGAGGUACUUGGCUCUAUGAGUGUAGAACCAAAAUCUAUGUACUGUUACUAUACUGACUCCUGAGUCCUGUCCCUUCUGGGGGUAAAAGGAAUCAAGUUGGCCAUAUUCCAGGUGUGACUUGGAAUGAGUCCCAAG